AGAAUCAACGCUGGCGGCGUGCCUAACACAUGCAAGUCGAGCGCGAAAGGGGAGCAAUCCCCAAGUAGAGCGGCGAACGGGUGAGUAACGCGGGGGUAAUCUACCUCCGAGUGGGGAAUAACAGCGGGAAACUGCUGCUAAUACCGCAUGACAUCGUCGAGCCUUCGGGCAUGACGAUCAAAGCCGGGGACCGCAAGGCCUGGCGCUUGGAGACGAGCCCGCGUCCGAUUAGCUAGUUGGCGGGGUAAUGGCCCACCAAGGCGACGAUCGGUAGCCGGCCUGAGAGGGCGACGGCCACGACUGGGACUGAGACACGGCCCAGACUCCACGGAGGCAGCAGUGGGAAUUUUCGCAAUGGGGGAAACCCUGACGAAGCAACGCCGCGUGGAGGAUGAAGGCCUUCGGGUCGUAAACGUCCUGUCGACCGGGACGAAAGCCAAUUGGGCCCAAUACGCCCGAUCGGUCGACUGUACCCGGUGGAGGAAGCCACGGCUAAACUCUACGUGCCAGGCAAGCCGACGGUAA
rnacentral:rRNA from 1 species